rnacentral:rRNA from 1 species
GUCGAACGGCAGCGCGGGGCAACCUGGCGGCGAGUGGCGAACGGGUGAGUAAUAUAUCGGAACGUACCCUGGAGUGGGGGAUAACGUAGCGAAAGUUACGCUAAUACCGCAUACGAUCUAAGGAUGAAAGUGGGGGAUCGCAAGACCUCAUGCUCCUGGAGCGGCCGAUAUCUGAUUAGCUAGUUGGUAGGGUAAAAGCCUACCAAGGCAUCGAUCAGUAGCUGGUCUGAGAGGACGACCAGCCACACUGGAACUGAGACACGGUCCAGACUCCUACGGGAGGCAGCAGUGGGGAAUUUUGGACAAUGGGCGCAAGCCUGAUCCAGCAAUGCCGCGUGAGUGAAGAAGGCCUUCGGGUUGUAAAGCUCUUUUGUCAGGGAAGAAACGACAUCYUCUAAUACAGGGUGUUAAUGACGGUACCUGAAGAAUAAGCACCGGCUAACUACGUGCCAGCAGCCGCGGUAAUACGUAGGGUGCAAGCGUUAAUCGGAAUUACUGGGCGUAAAGCGUGCGCAGGCGGUUUUGUAAGACUGACGUGAAAUCCCCGGGCUCAACCUGGGAAUGGCGUUGGUGACUGCAAGGCUAGAGUUUGGCAGAGGGGGGUAGAAUUCCACGUGUAGCAGUGAAAUGCGUAGAUAUGUGGAGGAACACCGAUGGCGAAGGCAGCCCCCUGGGUCAAAACUGACGCUCAUGCACGAAAGCGUGGGGAGCAAACAGGAUUAGAUACCCUGGUAGUCCACGCCCUAAACGAUGUCUACUAGUUGUCGGGUCUUAAUUGACUUGGUAACGCAGCUAACGCG